AUGUCGGAGACCUCCGCCUGCGCGCCGGCGUCCAGGAAGGCGGCGCACAAAGCCGACGACGACGGCAAAUGCCACUGCCCGAAGAAAAAGAAGCCGAGGGAGAAGAGGGUGGUGAGGAUGCCGGCGGUGAGCGACAAGGUGGCCGAUAUACCUUCGGACAGCUACUCGUGGAGGAAGUACGGGCAGAAACCCAUCAAAGGCUCUCCACACCCAAGGGGAUACUACCGGUGCAGCAGCAUCAAGGACUGCCCGGCGAGGAAGCACGUGGAGCGGUGUCGCGGCGACGCCGGGAUGCUCAUCGUCACCUACGAGAACGACCACAACCACGCGCAGCCGCUCGACCUCGCCACGCUCACCGCCAACUCCGAAGUCUGA
rnacentral:rRNA from 1 species